rnacentral:rRNA from 1 species
ACAUGCAAGUAGAACGCUGAAGAGAGGAGCUUGCUCUUCUUGGAUGAGUUGCGAACGGGUGAGUAACGCGUAGGUAACCUGCCUUGUAGCGGGGGAUAACUAUUGGAAACGAUAGCUAAUACCGCAUAACAAUGGAUGACACAUGUCAUUUAUUUGAAAGGGGCAAUUGCUCCACUACAAGAUGGACCUGCGUUGUAUUAGCUAGUAGGUGAGGUAAUGGCUCACCUAGGCGACGAUACAUAGCCGACCUGAGAGGGUGAUCGGCCACACUGGGACUGAGACACGGCCCAGACUCCUACGGGAGGCAGCAGUAGGGAAUCUUCGGCAAUGGGGGCAACCCUGACCGAGCAACGCCGCGUGAGUGAAGAAGGUUUUCGGAUCGUAAAGCUCUGUUGUAAGUCAAGAACGGGUGUGAGAGUGGAAAGUUCACACUGUGACGGUAGCUUACCAGAAAGGGACGGCUAACUACGUGCCAGCAGCCGCGGUAAUACGUAGGUCCCGAGCGUUGUCCGGAUUUAUUGGGCGUAAAGCGAGCGCAGGCGGUUUGAUAAGUCUGAAGUUAAAGGCUGUGGCUCAACCAUAGUUCGCUUUGGAAACUGUCAAACUUGAGUGCAGAAGGGGAGAGUGGAAUUCCAUGUGUAGCGGUGAAAUGCGUAGAUAUAUGGAGGAACACCGGUGGCGAAAGCGGCUCUCUGGUCUGUAACUGACGCUGAGGCUCGAAAGCGUGGGGAGCGAACAGGAUUAGAUACCCUGGUAGUCCACGCCGUAAACGAUGAGUGCUAGGUGUUGGAUCCUUUCCGGGAUUCAGUGCCGCAGCUAACGCAUUAAGCACUCCGCCUGGGGAGUACGACCGCAAGGUUGAAACUCAAAGGAAUUGACGGGGGCCCGCACAAGCGGUGGAGCAUGUGGUUUAAUUCGAAGCAACGCGAAGAACCUUACCAGGUCUUGACAUCCCGAUGCUAUUUCUAGAGAUAGAAAGUUACUUCGGUACAUCGGUGACAGGUGGUGCAUGGUUGUCGUCAGCUCGUGUCGUGAGAUGUUGGGUUAAGUCCCGCAACGAGCGCAACCCCUAUUGUUAGUUGCCAUCAUUCAGUUGGGCACUCUAGCGAGACUGCCGGUAAUAAACCGGAGGAAGGUGGGGAUGACGUCAAAUCAUCAUGCCCCUUAUGACCUGGGCUACACACGUGCUACAAUGGUUGGUACAACGAGUUGCGAGUCGGUGACGGCGAGCUAAUCUCUUAAAGCCAAUCUCAGUUCGGAUUGUAGGCUGCAACUCGCCUACAUGAAGUCGGAAUCGCUAGUAAUCGCGGAUCAGCACGCCGCGGUGAAUACGUUCCCGGGCCUUGUACACACCGCCCGUCACACCACGAGAGUUUGUAACACCCGAAGUCGGUGAGGUAACCUUUUGGAGCCAGCCGCCU